rnacentral:rRNA from 1 species
CGUCUACAUUAGAUACCCCCUGUAGUCCCAGCCGUAAACUAUGCGCGUUAGGUGUAUCGGUGACCACGAGUUACCGAGGUGCCGAAGGGAAACCGUGAAACGUGCCGCCUGGGAAGUACGGUCGCAAGGCUGAAACUUAAAGGAAUUGGCGGGGAGCACCACAACAGGUGGAGCCUGCGGUUUAAUUGGACUCAACGCCGGGAAGCUCACCGGAUAGGACAGCAGAAUGAUUGCCGGGCUGAAGACCCUGCAUGACUAGCUG